AAGAAAAGAAAAAAAGAAAGAAAUACAAAGUAGACCACAUGUAUAAAUCAGAAAUAUGAAAUGGGUCAUGUGUUUAAUUUAAAAUAUAAUGUGAGCCACAAUAAUGUGAUUCAGAAAUACACUGCAAGCCACAUAUGUAAUUUAAAUUUUUUUCUGGUAGCCACAAUAAAAAGAUAGAAAGGAAGUGGUGAAAUAAUUUUAGUAAACUAUUUUAUGUAACUCAAUAUAUCCAAAGGUCAUCAAUUUCACCCUGUACCCACUAUUUUUAAAAUAUUGCUGGGAGUAGUGGCACACGCUUGCAAUCCCAGCACUCAGGAGACUGAACUACGGGCUAUCUCAGUAAGUGUUUUUAAAUAUUAGUGAUAUAUUCUGUUAUGAGUUUGUUUGUUUUUUGUUUUUGAGACAGGGUCUCACUACGUAUCCCAGGCUGGCCCCAAACUUUCAAUGAUCUUCCUGCCUCAGCCUCCCGAGUGCUGGGAUUACAGGCAUGCACCACCAUGACCUGCUAGUUCUUAAUUUAUGAGUUAGAGAAAACUCACUUUAAGACGUGGUUCCUCGUUGCUCCAGCCAUGUUUGAGGUGUCGGUACCAUGUUUGGUGCCACCACAUUGGACAGUACAGGUGUGGUGGUGCACAAAGCAAGCUGAGCUGGUCUCCCCUGCACGCAUCCCAGCCCCACCAGGUCAAGAGUCUUUCUUUUAAGAAACACCCUGUAAAGCCUCUCCAGCCUUCCAUACAUUCUGCUUGCAAGGCUCCCCAGGUUCAGUGAAAUGAAUGUCAUCUUCCGAAUCUUAUUUUCCUCUCCUCCUCUUUGCUUGGAUUCUCUGCCGGUCUAAUCCAUUCACUGUCCACCUGGUGUCGGGCGCUUCUGGAGCUCCCCUCCAGGGUGGGUGGGAGGCGAGGUGGGGAAGUGGAGACCCCCAGCCAGGGGUCUGUGAUGCAGCCAAGCCCUGAGGCUGUGCCAUCUCUUUCUCUUCUAGGACAUUAGGUUAUACUGUGCAGUUAUGACAGGCUGUCCCACACUAUGCCUACCUAUUCGUUUGUGGCUGCAGCACACUUCGCAUUCCCCCAAAUGCUCUGCACAUUCUGACUCCGCAAUCCACUAACCAGGCUGUGGGUGCAGAAGGCCUGAGCCAAAAACCUUAGCAUGUGGGCCACUUGGUGAAGAAAACAGCUGUUUCUCUAGCUUCCUGGUUCUUCAGCAGUCUUCAAUUUCCUGGCGCCUCCUGUGUGUCCCCUUGCUUCACUGGGUGGUUCCAAGUUCCCUACUCCAUCUCCCUUCUCCCCUGCUGUUAGGGUAAACUGAGGCAUGCCCGAGACCACCAGAGCAGGCAAAAAUGAAGCAACAAGCUAGGUUUUAUUUCCAGCUUGGGUGCAGGCUAGUCAAGGGUGACAAAGCCAUUGACCCUGGGGGCUUGGGUGAGGGGAAACUUUAUAGGGGACUUUGGGUAGGGGAGGGGUGCUGCCAGGAGGAGUGGAAAUUUUUGUCCUGGAGUGGAGGAAGUCUUUUGAUCUAGGGUGGAGGGCGUCUGGUGGUCUCCAGGGGUAUCUAGGCCCGCAGAUGUUGCUGCAUGGGUCAAGCUGCUUUUCUCGAACCCAACUUAGCUUCCUGUUAUCCUUUGCAUCUUGCAGGAUGUGUAACUGCAUUGUCUGGCAAGUUUUCUCUUCCACCUGGGGGGGGGGGUCUGACACCUGCUCUCUCUUUCCUCCAUCUCUCCAGCUGUUCUAACUUUCACUUCCAUGUCUCCUCUUCCCUGGCCCCAUUUCCCUAGCUCUGGCCUCUCAUUCCCAGUUCACCCACACAUGCGCCCCCCUUUCCAUGUCACUGUCCACAUCCAUGUCCUCCCUUCCCCUCAGCCCCAGCUCAGCUGUGUCUUUGUAAGAGUCAAGGGUUUCAAUUCCUUGACUCAGAGUUGAUUCCUCCAGAUCUGGAGAAGAAACUCAAGGAAAGGAAAUCAAGGCAUGAUGCCAUCACAGAGAGCCUGAAGAAAUGCAGAGACAACCUCCAGGCUGACAGGAAGAAAGACUGAAUCAGGCUCCUCAAUGGCAUGGAUGGAAAUGCUGCGAAGAGCUCUAAGUGGGGACUGAUGGCUGCUUGCUGCCAUUAGGGGAAAGUAAGAAACACAAAGCUGGAGAAUCCUCUCUUUACAGGAACGCAGACCCUAUGUGGGUAAAUGGCCACUGAGCCAACUGAGGAUGGGCUCAUGUGGAUUUAUUUUAUUAUUUGAAACUCAGGUAAUUCCUGAAAUUUAAAAGUAUUCUAAAGUAGUAGAAAUAGAUAAAUUUAUUUUUUCAUUGCUCAGAGAUAGAGGGAAAAUUGAGACAAGGAGAAGGAGCCGGUCAGUCUCUGAGGUUGGUAUAAGCUGACCUACCGGGUACCAGGUGCAGCUAGCUCUCUGGCCAACCCCUCCCUGCGGGGUCAGGACAGCCGAAAGGUGGAGUCCCAGGGUCAUGUGGAAGUCAUCAAAGAUGGCUCUGGCAGCACAGGACUCUGGCUCACUAUGUGGGCAUCUGGUGUGGAUCUGACACAGUAUUUCAAAACAUGAAGGGCAGGGGAUUUAGCUCAGUGGCACCGCACCUACCUUACCUAAGGUUCAAUACCUGGUACCAAAAAAUAAAACAAAACUAAAAACCCCACCAGAACAAGUUCCAAGGUCAACGUUACUAUCAGCAAUUUACCGUGAGGCCCUGGAACCUCAGGAAGGAGAGGUAUGUGUCCCCGGCCACGUGACUUAAGUGAAAGACAGAAUCAGAACUUGUUUCUCCAAAGCCACAGCGCAGGAUUUAGGGCUCCGUUCCAUCCGCGUUUCCCCACAAGGGGCCUACUGCUGCCUGGAGAGGAUGCCUUUGCUGUGCCCUGAGACUCAGUCUGCCCGCUGAGAGUCCUGCAGCAGCACAGUCCCAGCACUCUGGGCCAGGAGGGGCCCCUUCCCCUGGGGGGGGGGGGCUUCUGUUGCCAAGAGAAACCAAUCCCUUUCUCUUCCCCACGGAUGACCCAGAACCACUGACGGUCGUUAGGGACGAGGACAACGUGUUUGCUUUUAAUGCGCAGCCUGUGGUUAUCAAGGCCAAGACUUGUUUUCUCUGCCAGUUAGAGAAGGCUUAUCCGGAGUCACCCUCCCCAGCAGGGCCCGCGUGGACACUGGCUCCCCUGUCGGGCGGGGAGAGGCGGACCACAUGGAGGACCAGGCGAGAAGGCACCGAACCGGCCCUUGGGGGAAGCCUGGGGAGCGGGCUGCAGAAUGGACUCCCUGACCUGGGGCCCCGCUCCCUGGCCUAAGUUAGGUGGAAUGAACAACUGUUCUCACUUCCCACCUGAGAUGAAGGAGCAUGGAAAGAGCGGGGGGGGGGGGGGUGGCAUUCGGACACUGGAGCAGGACCGGGGUGGGGUAGGGAGUGGACGCCAGUUCGUGGAGACUUCGCUGCUCGGGCAGAUGUGGGGUGUCAGGCCGUGUCUCACCCGUGUCCUCUGCUCCCCAGCGACCCCCUCGCCAGGAAACCCCGGCCCUCACACGCUUACCACUGCCACAGGUUAGUCUCGGGCGCUGGAGGAGCCCUGGUGCCCGGUGCCCCUCGCCGUCUCCUCUGUGCUGCCCUCUCCCUCAAAGGCUCCGGAACAACCAAGCGAGGGUCACCAAACCGCUAGCCCUCGAUUCCGCUCGCGCCUGUCCCGGCGUCCUUGGCUGAGAAAGCGUCCGGCGCCGCGCUUCCCGCAGGCGGAGCCUGCUCGGACCGGGAGCUGGGGGCCCACCAGGAGCUGCAGGUGGCGCCGAGUGGUGGCUGAGGGCGAGCGGACCGUGCGCCUGGAGACGGGCGUGGGGUGGAGACCACGGGAUGGCGGGCACGUUCCUGGGCCAAACCCGGGGACCGGGCUCCUCCCGCCGCCUUGGCCGAGGCGCCCCUGGUGGACGAAGGCGCUCACCACACCUGUCUCCCCGCGGUUUCCGACUCGGGCCCACCGCACCCCGCUUCUGAACAAGCACUGAGGUGAGUCAGGCCCGCCUGCCACGAUCCUAGGCGCUCCACGAGCCUGACACUCAGCAUCUCACAUCCCCACCUCCUCCAUUUCUCCCAGUCCUCUAUCCACGAAGGGAACAGUAACAUCAAAGCAACGAUGGAAAUCCGAUACAAAUCCGAAGGUGGAAUGCGGUCCCCAUGCCUAAAGCUGCAAGAGAGACCGGAGCCACAGCUGCUCGGCCGAGUGAAAGGGGGACGGCUCGUCCGGCCUUCGUACCCUGACCCUCCGUCGGGAUCCUACGGGCGUGCGGGAGCGGGGCCUGCAGGAGCCGCGCAGCCUUCCCUCCGCACCCCAACUCCCUUCCCCUCUCAAGUUUGAGGCUCACUUUGGAAACUUACCUGAGCUCAGAAAGUCUGAGCCUCGACCGACCUCGCAUUAUCCCGACGCCGGCUUCCGUUAGGUGUGGGGGUCAGGGCCACGGGACACGGGGAAGAAAAGCUGAUCUACCUUUGGGGGCUGCAGCGACCCCACCUCCACCGUGGGGCGGCCCCUCUGCGCCCAAGAACAGCACACAGCGACGCCAGGGCCCUGGUGCAGCGCCUGGACCGCGGGGAGCUGGACCCGCCCGGCCUGGGGCGCAGCAGGGAGCUCAGAAGCAGGCCGCCGACUCAGGCCGUGCCUCACCUUCCUCCCACGGCCCCAGGGACCCUGCACGCGGCCACGGCUCACCCAGACCUCAUCCUUUAGAGGCUGUAAAGACGCUGACGCCGGCCUUCGACCCGCGGGAUACUGGGGAUGCGGACAAGCCCGCCGACGCCGAAAGCUCCCAGCCCUCAGCUGCGCAUCACGCUCGCCGGUGGCUCCUCGGGCCUCAGCCGCGCCUGGGGCGGAACUCGUGGGCCAGGGGCGGGGCUCGCGGGUCC
rnacentral:lncRNA from 1 species